AGCAUUAGAGGAUAGAAAUGGCAGCUAUCGCACAUUUGUUAUGAGAUGCAGGAAUUGUCGCCCUGCCUAAUGCA
rnacentral:ncRNA from 12 species